CUGGGAUCAAUUAAAAUGCCAGGCUUUUCCAGGCUGGUUUCCAGCGCAUCUGUGCAUGAUUCCACAUAAAUUUAGGGAAUUAGAGAUCAGACAAAGGUUAUAAGACAGCUGUUGAUGUCCCACUCACCAGUUAGGAGGAUUGAGAAGAAGCUGCUUUCCAGGAAAUCCCAGUCGACUUCCAGAUAGAUCUCUUUGGUCAAAAAUGUGUCACAGCUCCAACUCUUUUUUUGUAAGGACAUGAACUACGGAGUCCCCAUCCAAGGCACUGAAUGAGAACAUCUGGAACACU
rnacentral:lncRNA from 10 species